AAAUUUAAAAUUAAUAAUUAAAUUUAUAAUAAAAUAAUUUUUAAAUUUAAAUUAAAUUGUUAAAGUAUAUUUUAUAGAAAAAAUUAAUAUUUUUAUAGUGAAUAAGUAAUGUGAAAGAAUUUUGAAAUAAUAUUGAAAAUUUAUUUUUAAAAAAGUAAAUUUAAUUUAUUGUAUCUUGUGUAUCAGAGUUUAUUAAUAAAAAUUUUUAUUUAAAAAUUUCUCGAAUUAAAAAGAGUUAUUAAAUUAUAAAAUUUAUUGUUUCAUAAAUAUUUUAAAUAAUUUAAUUGAAAUGAAAUGUUAUUCGUUUUUUAAGAUAUCUAGUUUUUUUAGAAAAAAAUUUAAUUUUAAAUUUUAAAAAUUAAAUAAUUUUUUAAUUAAAAUAAUUAAUUUAAUUUAAUAUUUUUAUAUUUUAAGGGAUAAGCUUUAAAAUAAAUUUUUAUAAAAUAAUUUAUUAAAGAUUUAAAAAUUUUAUAAUUUAUAUUGUUAAUAAAUUUUAAUUUAUUAUAAAUAAUUUUAAUAGAAUAAAAAUUUAAUUUAUUUUUAAUUUUUUAUAAAAAUUAAGAAAUUAAUAAGAUAUUUUUAGUAAUAAUGAUAAAAUUAGUAUAUAAUUAAUUAAUUAAAAUAUUAUUAUUAAUGAAAAAUUAAUUAAAAAGAAUUCGGCAAAUUUAAAUAAAUUAUAUUCACCUGUUUAUCAAAAACAUGUCUUUUUGUUAAUAAUUUAAAGUCUAAUCUGCCCACUGAUUUAUUAAAGGGCUGCAGUAUUUUGACUGUACAAAGGUAGCAUAAUCAUUAGUCUCUUAAUUAGUGACUUGUAUGAAUGAUUGGAUGAAAUAUAAUCUGUUUCUUAAUUAGUUGUAAAAUUUAAUUUUUUUAUUAAAAAGUAAAAAUAAAUUUAAAAGACGAGAAGACCCCAUAGAGUUUUAUAAAAUUAAUUAUUAUUGAUUAUUUUUUAGAUUUUUAAAUAAAAUUUUUAAUUUUAUUUUGUUGGGGUGAUGAAAAAAUUUAAUAAACUUUUUUUUAAAAAUUUCCAUUAAUAAGUGAGUAUAUGAUCCAUUAUUAUUGAUUAAAAGAAAAAAUUACCUUGGGGAUAACAGCGUAAUUUUUUUUUCUAGUUCGUAUAGGAAAAAGAGUUUGCGACCUCGAUGUUGGAUUAAGAUAAAAUUUAAAUGUAAAAGUUUAAAAUUUUGAUCUGUUCGAUCAUUAAAAUCUUACAUGAUCUGAGUUCAAACCGGUGUAAGCCAGGUUGGUUUCUAUCUUUAAAUAAAAAUAAAUAUUUUAGUACGAAAGGAUCAAAUAUUUGAAAUAAUUUUUAAAAAAAAAAAAUGAAUUUUAUUAAAUUAAUUUAAAAUUUUAAAAAAAAAAUAAUAUAUAUAUAUAUAUAUAUAUAUAUAUAUAAAAA
rnacentral:rRNA from 1 species